rnacentral:rRNA from 1 species
GAGAUGGCGACCGGCGCACGGGUGAGUAACACGUAUCCAACCUGCCGAUAACUCGGGGAUAGCCUUUCGAAAGAAAGAUUAAUACCCGAUGGCAUAAUAGAACCGCAUGGUUUGAUUAUUAAAGAAUUUCGGUUAUCGAUGGGGAUGCGUUCCAUUAGGCAGUUGGUGGGGUAACGGCCCACCAAACCUUCGAUGGAUAGGGGUUCUGAGAGGAAGGUCCCCCACAUUGGAACUGAGACACGGUCCAGACUCCUACGGGAGGCAGCAUG